AAAAUUAGAACAACACAGAGAAGAUUAACAUGGCCCUUGUGCCAGAAUGACACUCAAAUUUGUAAAAUGUUCCAUAUUUUA
rnacentral:snRNA from 1 species